CACAGCUGCCGCGGCUAGAGCAGGCACCUCCGUGGCCCUCAAGGCGAAAUGCACCUGUUGUGGUAGUGAGUGCUCCGGGACAAACUGUUACUGUAUUGGCUGUGAUUGCAGUGCAUCCGAUACUGCAUUUAGUUUCGCGGCACCAAGCAGAUCAGAUGGUAAAUAGACGGUGGCGACACUAUACGGCGGCUGUUACAGUUCUCCAUCGAACCCAUAGACAUUUCCAAUGCAAUAUCAAAAUUUAACAGGACAAUCUAUCCAUUGCAGUUAGCAUUCUAAACUGAGUUGAAAUAUUGUUUUUUUUUUCUAUACUAUCAACUCAUUUACAUGUAACAUUUGUGACAAGGGUACCUGAAAUGUCGAAUCUGUAAAAACGGUAUUUGGAUGAUGCACGUACAUUAUUCGCAAACCAAAUCAAGAAAGAUACCAAUAAAAAGAUAAAAUGAUG